rnacentral:lncRNA from 1 species
CUCCCCAUGUAGGAUCUCUGUCCUUAAUGUGUUGUACUUUGUGAAUUAACGGCAUAACUAGUACUCAAACAGUACUUUAUACUUUGUGUUUCUGUGUGGCUGCAAACUUGAAAUCUUUACUUAGUGUAUACUAAAUUGAUCUUCUGUAUAUAAAGAUAAUUGAAAAUGAAUCUUGAUGUGAAUGGGAUGGGAGAGGGCGUGGGAGAUGGGAUGGUUGCGGGUGGGAGGCAGGUUAUGGGGGGAAAUCCACUAUAAUCCAAAAGUUGUAGUUUGGAAAUUUAUAGUUACUAAAUAGAAGUUAAAAAAAGAAGAUGUGUCACUUCACAAGUAGACUGUUACCAGCAGAAAGUUCAUUUCUGCUAGUCUUCUCUGAUCCCCAUUCCCACUGAGUUCACUCCACUAGUUUUGUUUCACAUAGCUUAUAUGAAGUACUUCAUCUCUUCAAUCAUCUGCAUAGUUUUUUUGAGUACUUGGAUCAUAUUUGUCACCCAGUAUAAAUGAAAAUGGAGUUAGCAGAGUCUUCUUCUUUCCAUUAAUCUUAUUAACUUUCACUGAUAAACAAGAGAAUGAGGGAAAUUAUUAUCUUGUGCUGUGUUUUCAACUAAUUUUUGUUUUCCUGAUCAAACAGUUGGAUGAGUCCUCCACAAGAUUAAAAGGAAAAGACUCAUUUUCAGCAGAGACACUCUUCAGAUUCCCCAGGAAAGUGCAAUUGGAGCAAUACGUUUGGGAAUCUUUUCCAUGGAGUUACAAACACAAGUCAAUAAUUCAGAGGACAAUUGGAGUUUCCUCAGAACUGUUCAAAUUUUCAGAAUUGAGAAUACAAAAGGAUAACUUGACAAAUCAGGAACACAAAAUACUUCUCUCCUUUUGAUUGAUAUAACACAUCUGCAAGCCUUCACCCAAUCUUCGGAAUAGAUUCCCAUUUCAAACAAAGGAAACAGAAGAAUCUUAUUCCUCCACCAAAGAGACUCAAAGGAAGAGAUUCUUCUCCUAAAAUAUAUGGUCCUUAUAUUAUCCAGCAACUUGUAUGAUUGAACAUGUUAAUCAAAUACUUAAAUGAGAGCAACUCUUUAUGAACCUUGAGAAAAAAGAAUCAAGAUUGUUAAGGGAUAUCUAUGAGCAAUUCAUUAACAUGUUCAGUGGAAAAGUCAAACUUCGGAUGUGUGGACUCUAAAGAAACAGUUCAUCUCUCAACAAAAUACUGAUAUAGCAAAGAUAAAGAAGGCAUGUCAAAACGUGAAACUGUUUUUGUAUAUUAGCUUCUGAUUUCUAAAAUUCCAUUAAAGUAGUUUAUUUAACAAGAUUCUGGCUGUAGAAAAUUGGCAAAAGUUUACUCUGAAUAUGCAAUUAUUUUCUUCCUAUCACAUUUGUACCCUUAGGGAGAUGCUGUCAAACCUGCUGACUGAAGGAAUGCUCCCUCAGCCAAGGAAACUGGAAUUUUGAUGAGUAUUUUUGAAUGCUGGUAAAUUGUUUACAGUAUUAGAGAUGUAAAUAGCUUACCUCUCAGAAAUAUGCAUUACCCCCUGCACAAAUUAGGUUGUGUAGUUUCAUUUUCUUUCACUUCCAAUUCUUAACUUUGUUUCUAUUUGUUCAUGAAAAUGUAAUAAGCUGCAUUUUUCCAUCUUAUUAUGUAAACUUGCAUACAUCUGUGGAAGUAGAGACAAAAACACAAUGAUCUAAGAUUUACCUUCAAAUUAAAUUCCUACAUUUUUGUUUCCUAUGUACCCCUACUCAGUUUGCCCUUGUUGGAUGCACUAUAUUUUAUGUAACCAAGCCACUAUUUUUUUUAGAGUACAUUGUGACAUUUAUUAUUUUCUUUGGGCUUCCAGAGCAACCUUAAAUUUUAUAUUACAAUUUAAUAAUGUUUUUAA